GGUGGGGUCAGCUGUGCUGAGAUCGUCAUGGAGUUGAAAAAAUGUGAGUAUAAACACCAUUCCAUUUGAGGGGGGGCAGUUACCUAAACAGACGCACACACUAACAGACACAAACACUCACUGAUUUGACACACACACUCACAGACCCACACAUGGUCACUGACAGACACCCAUUCACUUUCAGACAUACACACGCACUUACUGACAG